AAGGCGUGUUUAGAACUACAAGAACUGCUAAUUCUUAGAACUGAAGUUUAAAUCUUCAGACCCCUU
rnacentral:tRNA from 1 species